CCCGCCGGACCUGACUGCUAUCGGAUUGAUACUAAGCCAUGCGAGUCAUUGUAGUAAUACAAGGCAGACGGCUCAGUAACGCGUAGUCAAYCUAACCUAUGGACGGGGAUAACCUCGGGAAACUGAGAAUAAUACCCGAUAGAACAUUAUGCCUGGAAUGGUUUAUGUUUCAAAUAAUUUAUUGCCGUAGGAUGGGACUGCGGCCUAUCAGUUUGUUGGUGAGGUAAUGGCCCACCAAGACUAUUACAGGUACGGGCUCUGAGAGGAGUAGCCCGGAGAUGGGUACUGAGACACGGACCCAGGCCCUAUGGGGCGCAGCAGGCGAGAAAACUUUGCAAUGUGCGAAAGCACGACAAGGUUAAUCCGAGUGGUUUCUGCUAAAGGAACCUUUUGCCAGUCCUAGAAACACUGGUGAAUAAGGGGUGGGCAAGUUCUGGUGUCAGCCGCCGCGGUAAAACCAGCACCUCAAGUGGUCAGGAUGAUUAUUGGGCCUAAAGCAUCCGUAGCCUGCUUUGUUAGUUUUCGGUUAAAUCCAUUCGCUCAACGAAUGGGCUGCCGGGAAUACUGCAAAGCUAGGGAGUGGGAGAGGUAGACGGUACUCGGUAGGAAGGGGUAAAAUCCUUUGAUCUAUUGAUGACCACCUGUGGCGAAGGCGGUCUACCAGAACACGUCCGACGGUGAGGGAUGAAAGCUGGGGGAGCAAACCGGAUUAGAUACCCGGGUAGUCCCAGCUGUAAACUAUGCAAACUCAGUGAUGCAUUGGCUUGAUGCCAAUGCAGUGCUGCAGGGAAGCCGUUAAGUUUGCCGCCUGGGAAGUACGUACGCAAGUAUGAAACUUAAAGGAAUUGGCGGGGGAGCACCACAA
rnacentral:rRNA from 1 species